CCUACGGGCGGCAGCAGUGGGGAAUAUUGGACAAUGGGCGAAAGCCUGAUCCAGCCAUGCCGCGUGUGUGAAGAAGGCCUUCGGGUUGUAAAGCACUUUCAGUGGGGAAGAAACCCUUGGGGCUAAUACCCUCGAGGAAGGACAUCACCCACAGAAGAAGCACCGGCUAACUCCGUGCCAGCAGCCGCGGUAAUACGGAGGGUGCGAGCGUUAAUCGGAAUUACUGGGCGUAAAGCGCGCGUAGGCGGUCUGAUAAGCCGGUUGUGAAAGCCCCGGGCUCAACCUGGGAACGGCAUCCGGAACUGUCAGGCUAGAGUGCAGGAGAGGAAGGUAGAAUUCCCGGUGUAGCGGUGAAAUGCGUAGAGAUCGGGAGGAAUACCAGUGGCGAAGGCGGCCUUCUGGACUGACACUGACGCUGAGGUGCGAAAGCGUGGGUAGCAAACAGGAUUAGAUACCCUGGUAGUC
rnacentral:rRNA from 1 species